CCCAGACUCCUACGGGAGGCAGCAGUGAGGAAUAUUGGUCAAUGGUCGGGAGACUGAACCAGCCAAGCCGCGUGAGGGAGGAAGGUACAGAGUAUCGUAAACCUCUUUUGUCAGGGAACAAAGGCGGGGACGUGUCCCCGGAUGAGUGUACCUGAAGAAAAAGCAUCGGCUAACUCCGUGCCAGCAGCCGCGGUAAUACGGAGGAUGCGAGCGUUAUCCGGAUUUAUUGGGUUUAAAGGGUGCGCAGGCGGUCUGUUAAGUCAGCGGUAAAAUUGCGGUGCUCAACGCCGUAGAGCCGUUGAAACUGGCGUUCUUGAGUGGGCGAGAAGUAUGCGGAAUGCGUGGUGUAGCGGUGAAAUGCAUAGAUAUCGCGCAGAACUCCGAUUGCGAAGGCAGCAUGCCGGCUCCACACUGACGCUGAGGCACGAAAGCGUGGGUAUCGAACAGGAUUAGAUACCCGGGUA
rnacentral:rRNA from 1 species